AGACCAGGGGUUAAGGGGACGAGGAGGCUCGGGACUUCCCUUGGAGCUUCAGAAGAAAACUUUCCUCCUGCGGGCGGCUGAGCCUUAGCGGAGCUGGACCCGGAGAGCCGAGAGCGGGCAGGGGUGCGGGCAGAAAGCGGGCAGGGGUGCGGGCAGGGCGCAGUCCUGGGAUUCUCCAUGGGAAUGGGGCGGGGGGGAGCCCUCCUGGCCCUAACUCCCAGCGGCUGACCGCAGGAAGAGAAGCGUCCCGUCCGCACCCUGCUCAGCCUGGGGACUUCGCUCCUGAGGUUCCUGCUGUGCCAGUUCUGCCCCCGCCCCAGCUCCCGGGACCCACCCGCACGUUUCGGGGGACUGGAGCUGCUCUCCCCCACCUAGAUUGAGCUCUCGGAGAGGGGGCAACGUGUGUUCCCCCACCCCCCACGCCGGCAUCCCCCACCCUGGGGCUUUUGCCUUGGCCCCGGUCGGGGAGGCUGUGCUCACCAGACCCAUCACUUGAGACCCCCCCCAGCUGUCUGGGGCUGUGGCUGGCUCGGCGGGGCAGGGCUGGCUGCUGCUGGAGAGGGACCCUGUGCUCACUGCCACUCUGCCCACCCCCACAGUGCAACCCCCAGGUGUGGGAUCCCCCCCUGAGGCAGCCGCACUGGGCGUUAGUGCUCCAGCAAG